rnacentral:rRNA from 1 species
GCUAGGAAUUUUCCGCAAUGGGCGAAAGCCUGACGGAGCGACGCCGCGUAAGGGAUGAAGGCCCUAUGGGGUUGUAAACCUUUUUUCUGUGGGAAGAGAACGGACAUUACCACAGGAAUAAGCCCCGGCAAACUACGUGCCAGCAGCCGCGGUAAUACGUAGGGGGCGAGUGUUGUUCGGAAUUACUGGGCAUAAAGGGUGCGUAGGCGGGGAUAUAAGCAAGGUGUGAAAGACCAUGGCUCAACCAUGGAAUUGCAUUUUGAACUAUAUCUCUAGAGUUCAGGAGGGGAGAGCAGAAUUCCCGGUGUAGGAGUGAAAUCUAUAGAUAUCGGGAGGAAUACCGGUCGCGUAGGCGGCUCUCUGGUCUGAUACUGACGCUGAGGCACGAAAGCAUGGGGAGCAAACCGGAUUAGAAACCCGUGUAGUCC